GAGAGUAUAGCUCAAUGGUAGAGUGCUUGCUUAGCAUGCAUGAGGUCCUGGAUUCCAUCCCCAGUCCCUCCA
rnacentral:tRNA from 1 species